CUUGAAGUCGUUAGAGAUUUCAAGCUCAGGGAGUUUUAAAAAAAUUACCAAUGACCGCGGGUUUGUUGAGGGGUGAAGGGAAAAAUCAUUUGAGAGCUACCCAAAUUUAAUUUCUUAUUUUUACGAGAUGAAAAUAAAUGGAGCGUUUCUCUUGGCUCAUAGACCACAGAUUAUCCAUACCUAAUCUGUGCAAUGCUAACCCAAUUUGUUGGAAAGUUAAAAAAAGAAAGGCUUUCAGACUAGCCCUGAGCUAACAUCUGUUGCCAAUCCUCCUUUUCUUGCUGAGGAAGACUGGCCCUGAGCUAAGAUCCCUGCCCAUCUUCCUCUCCUUUCUAUGUGGGAUGCCUGCCACAGCAUGGCUUGACAAGCAGUGUGUAGGUCCACACCCAGGAUCCGAACCAGUGAACCCCGAGCCUCCAAAGCAGAACGCGUGGACUUAACUGUUGUGCUACUGGGCUGGCCCAUAUAAUAAUUCUCAUAUGAAUCACCCUGUCAAAAGUUCUUUCUGUUAGCUAACCAGUAGUUCUUUUGACACAGUAUAUACCUGUUGCCUUUUAAUCUUUUGUUUGGUUCUGUUGAGACAAAGGAAAUUGUUUUUGUUGUUGUAGUCCCUAUAAUGCUGCUUUGAACUCUGAAGGACCUGAUGGGGAGUAACACCAUUGGAGGUUGGGGCUUCCU
rnacentral:lncRNA from 1 species